AUUCUUAUUUCUUUCGAAUUAAGAGGUGCAACUCUAUGACAUAGUCAUAAAGUUCAAACCAUUCAACUGAGACAGUUUAUAAAUCCUUCUCGACUACCUUGGAGCUUGUGGUGUAGAAACUAGGUUGUUAUAUUUGUUGAUUAUCAUCUUGUCUCUCAAAGAACCCAUUCUUUGAGUUCUAUCUCUUGUUCAUUUGCACUAUCUUAGGCAAAUCCUAGUGGAGGAUUACAAUGAACUACCCAACAAACAACAUUUGUUAGUUGGUUUAUAGAAGUGAUAUCCAAAUGUUAAUUUAAGGAUACCCACAAGAUAAUUUUAAACAAAUAUUGCUUAUUAGCACACAACCCCAAAUCUUAA
rnacentral:lncRNA from 1 species